rnacentral:rRNA from 1 species
AUUGAACGCUGGCGGCAUGCCUUACACAUGCAAGUCGAACGGCAGCACUAUUUAGUUUACUAGAGAGGUGGCGAGUGGCGAACGGGUGAGUAACGCGUAGGAAUAUACCUUAAAGAGGGGACAACCUGGGGAAACUCAGGCUAAUACCGCAUAAUCUCUGAGGAGAGAAGCUGGGGGACCGCAAGGCCUGGCGCUUUAAGAUUAGCCUGCGUCCGAUUAGCUAGUUGGUGGGGUAAAGGCCUACCAAGGCGACGAUCGGUAGCUGGUCUGAGAGGAUGACCAGCCACACUGGAACUGAGACACGGUCCAGACUCCUACGGGAGGCAGCAGUGGGGAAUAUUGGACAAUGGGGGGGAACCCGUGAUCCAGCAAUGCCGCGUGUGUG